UGGCAACUUUAAGCAGAUUAAUUUUAGGAAGUCUGCUGAAAGAUUUCCUAGUAAAGAGUCUUUAGAUGAUUACUGUAUACAUUAGAGAACAAGAAUAAAGUCCAAUCAUGUUAGCAUUCAAGACUUUCUACAACUUAACUAUAAUUUAGUAGCCAGCAUGCAAUUAAGAGCACAGACUUCUAAGUCAAGUGGUUUGAAUCCAAGCUUUGACCCUUCACUAGAAGUCUAACCUUGAGAAAGUAGCUUAAUUUAUUCAAAAGUAAUUUUCUUCAUUUUCAAAAUAGUAAUAAAUCAUCUAUAUCAGCUUUGUGAAGAUUAAUUUAGAUAAAAUAUGUACAAUGUUUAGCACAAUGACUGACACAGAGUAAGCUCUCAAAUUUGUCAGCUGUUAUUAAAACCUUUCCACUACACUAGCAAUACUCCUCUUAAUAAAACCUUAGAGGUCAAGCUGGUCACAUCACUGAUCUGAAUAAAACUCAAUGAGUGGUUUUCUGUCUCCUGGUCUUUGUCUGUUCUACCCCUCUUCCCUGGACUCUUGGAAGAAUGUUUUUCUUUCUACCUAUCCCAGUUUACUUAUACCCCAAAACCUUGCUUGAAUUCUCAGCUAGCAAAGUUUUCCAAUUCACUAUUUCACAGUGAUUUCUUUCUUUCUUUCUUUGAGACAAAACUCUCACUCUGUUGCCCAGGCUGGAGUGCCGUGGCGUGAUCUCAGCUCACUACAACCUCUGCCUCCUGGAUUCAGGUGAUUCUCAUGCCUCAGCCUCCUGAGUAGGUGGGAUUACACACUUGUGCCACCACGCCCAGCUAAUAUUUUGCAUUUUUAGUAGAAAUGGAGUUUCGCCAUGUUGGCCAGGCUGGUCUCAAACUCCUGGCCUCAAGUGAUCUGCCCACCUCCGCCUCCCAGCAUUGGGAUUACAGGUGUGAGCCACCAAGCCUGGCCCUCAUGAAAGAAGUGAUUUCUUUCAUUUAUGUCCUAAAUUAUUUAUAGGAGUUACUGUCUGUUACUUAUUUAACUAUGGUAUUGUUUUUCACUUUUUCAGGAUAUUUGCUAAAUGGAAAAAAAAAAAAAACUUCAGAGCAGAAUCUCUGUGAUUUUCUUUUCCUACUUAAAACAUAUUUGUUAUAAUGUCUCUCAAAGAAAGUUUGUGGCUGGGCGUGGUGGCUCAUGCCUGUAAUCCCAGUACUUUAGGAGGUCAAGGCAGGUGGAUCACCCGUGGUCAGGAGUUCAAAUCCAGCCUGGCCAACACAGUGAAACCUCGCCUCUACUAAAAAUACAAAAAUUAGCCGAGCAUGCUGGUGCGCAUCUGUAGUCCCGGCUACUCAGAAGGCUGAGGCAGGAGAAUCACUUGAACCUGGGAGGCGGAGGUUGCAGUGAGCCAAGAUCACGCCACUGCAUUCCAGCCUGGGCAACAGAGCAAGAAAGUGUCUCAAAAAAAAAAAAUAAUAAGAUAAAAUAAAAUAAAAUUCUACUUAAAAUGUUAUUUAAAAAAUAGGCUGACCCAAUAGUAGUGGGUUAUCGGAACUUAUUAACAUUAGUGUCACUAAAGUUGGUAUACAACCCCUAACUGCUACAUUUGACUGACAUUAAAAUAAAAAAAGAAAACAAAAAUACUUAGUAGUAAAUUUAACCAAAGAAGAGCAAGACGUGUAUAUGGGAAACUGUAAAACACUGUUCAAAGAAAGUAAAGAUCUAAAUAAAUAGAAAGACAUCACGUAUGCAUGGAUUGGAAGACAGAGUAAAUGCGUAUCAAAAUUCCAAAUGCCUUUUUUCCAGAUAUAGACAAGCUGACCCUAGUAAUAUUCAUACAGAAUUGCAAGAGACACAGAAUACCCAAAACAAUCUUGAAACACCAUUAAUUAUUAUUAUUAUUUUUUUUGAGAUGGAGCCUUGCUCUGCUGCCCAGGCUGUAGUGCAAUGGCGCGAUCUCGGCUCACCGCAACCUCUGCCUCCCGGGUUCAAGAGAUUCUCCUGUCUCAGCCUCCAAGUAUCUGGGAUUAUAUGCAUGCACAACCAUGCUCGGCUAAUUUUGUAUUUUUAGUAGAGACGGGGUUUCUCCAUGUUGAUGAGGCUGGUCUCAAACUCCUGAUCUCAGGUGAUCCACCAGCCUCAGCCUCCCAAAGUGCUGGGAUUACAGGCGUGAGCCACCAUGCCCAGCCUGAAGUAUUUCUUUAUUGUUGAUUACUUUUUUCUUUCUUUUCUUUUUUUUUUUGAGACAGAGUCUCCCUUGGUCACCCUAGCUGGAGUGCAGAGGUGCCAUCUCAGCUCACUGCAACCUCUGCCUCCCUGGCUCAUGCGAUUCUCCUGCCUCAGCCUCACAAGUAGCUGGGAUUACAGGCGCUGCACCCCCACCGCCCUACCUGACUAAUUUUUAUUUAUUUAUUAUUAUUUUUUGAGAUGAAGUCUUGCUCUGUCACUCAGGGUAGAGUGCAGUGGCACGAUUUAAGCUCACUGCAACCUCUGCCUCCCGGGUUCAAUCGAUUCUCCCACCUCAGCCUCCCGAGUAGCUAGGAUUACAGGCACCUGCCAUCAUGCCUGGCUUAUUUUUUUAUAUUUUUAGUAGAGAUGGGGUUUCACCAUGUUGGCCAGAGUGGUCUUGAACUCCUGACUUCAAGUGAUCCACCCGCCUCAGCCUCCCAAAGUGCUGAGAUUACAGGCAUAAGCGACCGCACCUGGCCUUUUCUGUAUUUUUUUUAGUAGAGAUGAGGUUUCACCAUGUUGGUCAGGCUGGUCUCGAACUCCUGGCCUCAAGUGAUCCACCCUCCUUGGCUUCCCAAAGUGCUGUGAUUACAGGCAUCAGCUACUGUGCCUGGCCCUUUUUAAAAAAAAUUGCGGGCCGGGUGCAGUGGCUCACGCCUGUAAUCCCAGCACUCAGGGAGGCUGAGGUGGGAGGAUCACCUGAGGUCGGAAGUUCAAGACCAGCCUGACCAACAUGGAGAAACCCCUUCUCUAAUAAAA
rnacentral:lncRNA from 10 species